rnacentral:rRNA from 1 species
ACAGUUUGAUCCUGGCUCAGAUUGAACGCUGGCGGCAGGCCUAACACAUGCAAGUCGAGCGGAUGAUGGGAGCUUGCUCCCGGAUUCAGCGGCGGACGGGUGAGUAAUGCCUAGGAAUCUGCCUGGUAGUGGGGGACAACGUUUCGAAAGGAACGCUAAUACCGCAUACGUCCUACGGGAGAAAGCAGGGGACCUUCGGGCCUUGCGCUAUCAGAUGAGCCUAGGUCGGAUUAGCUAGUUGGUGGGGUAAAGGCCUACCAAGGCGACGAUCCGUAACUGGUCUGAGAGGAUGAUCAGUCACACUGGAACUGAGACACGGUCCAGACUCCUACGGGAGGCAGCAGUGGGGAAUAUUGGACAAUGGGCGAAAGCCUGAUCCAGCCAUGCCGCGUGUGUGAAGAAGGUCUUCGGAUUGUAAAGCACUUUAAGUUGGGAGGAAGGGCANUAAGUUAAUACCUUGCUGUUUUGACGUUACCACAGAAUAAGCACCCGGCUACUUCGUGCCAGC